CGGCUUGUUCGGGCCUUUCCUUGGGGAUAGCACUGACCCUCGGGUUUUCCCCUGACGCUGCUUCCUGCAAAUCCCUGUGGUCAGGCGUUGACUCUCCAGCUUCCCAGAGAGCCCCGGGGCCUGUGAGGCGGCGAGGACUGCCCGCCUCCAUUUUGUGCCGCCUGCCCGCUGGGUAGCUGAUGUGGCGGCCGGGGGGUGGGGGGGAAGGCGGCGGUGUCCUAAUGCGGCCUAAAAAUGCCCCCCGCCUAAAGACGGGGAUGUGCGCGGGUUCUCCAUCGUUCCCCACCACCCUGGCGUCAGCUGCGCUCCGUUCCCCGCUGGUGACCGGGCUCUCCCCGGUGUGGAGCCGCGGAGAGCCCCGGUUGUGGUCUGUGCAGGGGAACGGGCGUGGGGGGCGGCUUGUCGGUGCUUUGAGGAGGACAGGGAAUGACUGACCACCCCCCGGAAGGGCCUAGGUGUUUUUGCCUUUCAACAGCUCUUGCUCAAAUUGUUCUGUGUUCCCCUGGAUCCUCGAUUGGUACUGAAGAAAGCUGGUUUAGCAAUUGCAGUUGGGGGCUGGAUUCAAGCCUGGGUAUUCUCACUCCUGGUUCUGCUUGUUACUGCUUGGGACUUCCGCUGCCAUAAAGCGGUGGAAAUAGGCUUGCUAUCUGCUUCCCAGAGAGACAGCAGGUAUUUUCUUGCAUUUGUAGAGCAUCUGGAGAGACCCACAGAAAUAAUUACUACACUGUCAUGAGGACACAUGGGUUUUUUUGCAAGGAGGAGGCCGUCAUCUAUAAGGAACAAAGUCUGAAGCUUCUUCGUGCUCUUAAAGGCCAAUGCUUUUGUCAGCCUAAGGGGAUUUGGAGGCAAUGCUGCCGAGACUUUUUGGCAUAGGAUAUAAAAAGCAAUGGAAUUGCAAAUAGGCCCUCUCCUCUGCCCAUAGUCUUGAAGCAGGUCUCCCUUCUGUUAGUUAUUUUGUGUAUAGAACUGUGCACAUCAGAGAAUUCUUCACAGCUUGCCACAUCUGACAUAAAAUUAUGGCCCCUCAGUGCUUCAUCACAGGAGAGCAACAUUAGGACCGUGGUUCCAAAUUCCUUGGCUCUGCCAAUUUACAUGUAGAUAUUUAAUUCAUCUCUGAAUGCUGAUUUACUUUCUUCAAGGCCCAUUGCUUGUUUGAAGCAAUGUCCUGGUUUGAGUGACACAGGAUGAAUUUCUAAUGCCUGGGAAAACUGCACUUUUAAAAGACUCUAGCAUCUGAAUUAGUGAUAUAUACUUUAUAGCAGCUAUGGUAUGCAGGUUUCAAGGUAUCGGUGUUUUUGAGCUUGCCAGGUGCGGGAAUGAGGAGGAGCAAGACCUGGGGACUUGACCCAAGCUGGCCAACAGGAUUAUUUCAUACCAUGAGCGAUGCAUUUAAUAUAAAUUGGAAAGUUUGCUGCGAAGUUCUCUCUCCCUUGAUGGCUGUGAUCCAAAGAGCGUCUUGCCCCAGUGCCAGACUCCUGAGGCCUUCCCUUCCUCCCAAAGCCAUAGCACAGUGUCCAACAUUUGCUGUCUGCUGCUGGGAAUGCACAGCUUCCUGCUGAUAGCACUGGCUGAGUAUAAUCUUUGUAUAUUUUAUAUUGGUAUUGGGAUCAGUAUUCGUUCUUUAGUAUUAUUGUUGUUAAUUAUCUAGUCUUAGUCUAUUAAAUCUGUUUGUAUUUGGUUUUUUUCCUGAUUCCCCUUCGUGGGUGGGAAGGGGGCAUUGGGUGAUAGAAUAAUUGUCUAAAUGACAAUAAAUUGUUGUGGGUUUCUCAAACCAUAACAAGCAACAACUUAUUUCUUAGGGUAGUUGAUCAAAAUGGGUUAAUUGAAGACUCAGGUGUGAGUCUGAACUAAGAAAUGCUGUCACAGCUUUGUUGCUGAGUGACAUCUGUAGAAUGUUACUUUCCACAAUGUCUUGAUUAUGCCCUAAAGAUACCCAGCAGUCUGUAAAGGCCCUUCUUUUACUGAAGAGCUUUACAAAGUGAUACCUUAUUAUAUUAUUGAUGGGGGCAGCAAAGGUCACUUGUUGAUAGAGUUGCCCAACACUUCUCAUGAUCAAGUUCAGUUUUCCUUUUUUAUGUCUCAUUUCAUUAGAACUUUGUAAUUUCCAUGCUGAAGUUUUCCAGGCUGGACAUCUGCCUUGAGGUAACGAAGUGUGUAAACUGUACUUUGGCCAAAAAAUGAUUCUUUGUUGGCUCCACACUCUCGCAUUUUUCCACUUUAACAUUUUCAGAGAUGACUGGAUACCAGUGGCCUGGACUUCUGUUUUUCUGAUGAGGAAGGGAACCAGGUGGAAACCAGGUAGAGAAGGAACAAUGGAAAACUUCCAUGAGUUGCUGCCAGAGUACAACCAAAGUCCAGGACAUAGCCUGACAGACGAGUACUCUGGAGUUGUGGAAGAUGAAAAAGAUCAGCCAUUUCCAAAGGAAAAGAUCCCAAAACAUGAAAGGAUCUGAGAAAAUGUUUGAUCCCAGGCAGUAAACUCUGGCAACCUUGUCUCUCUCACCAGCACUUUGGAAAAGGGACUCAAAGCUUAUCUGCCAGGUCUCUCUGUCUGCGUCAAGGAUGCAUCCUGUUGCUCUGGUGAAAGUGAGCUGAAGGCAACUAAACUGAGGUCACAAUUUCUCCAUGUAUGGUCCAUCGCAGUCUAACCUGGGUGGUGCCAGUUCACCACUUCUGUUGAAUGUGAAAUGAUAUAAAAUGAAUUUGUCCCUUGGACCCAUGGAAGGUAAGCCCUAAUUUCUCUGUCCGAUGUCCACAUAGGUUACUAACUGUAUAUAAUAAACACCUCUUUCCAGAUGUGUGAUUCAGAAGGAGCGGGAAAGCAGCAGCACAAGGCUGCAGUCAAUGUGGUUGUCGGUUUUUAAUCCAGGGGAAGGGGCCUUCUUCCCAGGCCAUCAGAAGACAUAGUGAAGGAGAGUGAAGAAAGGAGGAGGAGGAGGAAGAUGUGAUCACUAUUACAGCAGGAAGCGGAGGUAAGUCUCAAAAACAUGUGAGAAGACUGAUGCUGUGAAAUCUGAUGUUUUGUGGAUUGAGGCCUUGUCUCUUUGCCGGCUUUUGGCUAUAGUAAGGCAUUAUAUCCACUGUGAAAUACCUCAUUUGUAACUUGUGACGUCUUUUGUAAAAAUGGCCUUGGAGUACUGAUUGUGGUAAAUGGAGCUUCCCCAAGGUGAAGUCUGUGGCUUCUUUGUGCUGCUUUUACUAAGAGUUCUGCCGAGAGACGCAUCUUGAGAUACAACUACUGAAACAGAAAAAACAAAUGGAAGUUCUGUUCUCCCUUGCUUUUCUUUUCUUAGUACAACUGUUGGCACAUUUCAUGUACUAAAAGCAAUUUACAGAUGAAGAUAGUCUAAAAAGUCAAAGUUCAAAGAAAACGUAGCAGUAGUUUGUGAUCACAGUUAAAGGAUUCACUUCAAAGCCUGAUGAAAGACUUCUGUAAUGGUUCUGAUUAGCACUUUAAAAAAAAAAAAGGCAGGCAGAAUUAACGACAUUUUCAGCCCAUAGUUCAGAGAAGUCCAAUUUGUGACAAAAUCUCCGAGUUUACCAAUACUUCAGGGAUCCUCUGAAGGGCAUUCAUAUACUUAAUUUCACUUGGAUGGGCUUUGGAUGAGAUUCUUAAUGAAUAGGGAUUGUAUUUGGAUGAUUUGCUGGGCUGAAGUUAAGAAUGUUGUUGUCUCACCUCAGUAGGAAAAGGAUCUUGGACUGACCUCCUUAGGAACUAGUGAAUUUCUAGUGUUCUCGCUUGUCCCGUGCAAUACUCGGAGGAAUAAAUGACAAUGCCAACAUGUUAGCAAGUUCCAGUAUGUUAAGACGUUUCUUCUCAAAAUGACAUCUUAGAUUCCCUCUGUUCCUUGCUGCUCCAGUCUGUGGUUGAAUCAGCAGAGGAGAUGCUAUAUCUUAGUCAAAGUACAAAAGGCUUCCAGUUAGCUCCUGCAGUUUGUUGUGAAUGUUAAACUAUAGUGGAGCUUCACAUUCAAGACAGACUUGGAUAGAUUCAAACAAGCCAGAUUUGCUACCAACACAGACAUCAAAAUGGCAUGCCACCAAGCAGAAUAAAAUUGUUAAUAGCAACAGCACUUAAAUGAAAAAAUGGACAACUGGAACAUGUGCAGUGGAAAAGAAGUGGACUUCUUUGAUGGACAGCUUAACACCAUUCAUUGGAGUUGUUCAAGAACACCGCCUGGUUUGCAGCAGAACUGAUCAAGGUUAGAAGUUUGUAUUACAGAGUGUUUUAUGGAACUACAGUGAGGCAUUUUUCUUAAACACAUAGGCAAGUGGACUUGGGUUCUGAACAAGAUUUCCUGUAAUGCAUAAGCAUAGACCUUAGGCAGCAUUUGAUUUUUGUGAGGUGGCUAAAUGGAGGUCAUCCAGGCAUGCAUAUGGUGCUAUAUAUUAACAGGGGCUCAGCUGUCUGAUUGUUUGGAGUCACGCUCUAAUCAGUUCUGACAAUUCAUAAAGGGUUAUGCAGAAGGCUGAAAGUCUUACUCUUUCAAGUCAUGAGAAGUGAGAAUGGAAGAGGUUUCCUGUUUGGAAAGAAGUAUAUAGGCAGCUGUCUUGGUUAACUCUGCAGUGGAGGAAAAAAAAUAAAUCUGAGGGUAACAAAACUUUCCCCUGGGUGACUAGUGUGUAUCUUCUUCAUGCAUAAACACUUUUAAACCUGGGCUCUUUUUUUUUCUGAUUUUUAACUGAAAACAGAGGGUCUGACUGCAGUGGAAGGACAGACCUUUGCAGAUUCGUGUCUUUUAGAGGAUUAGUGAUGUUAUUUUCCAAAUACAGGCUAGGAUUUUCUGGGUUACCAAGCACAAAGACUGUGAAUCAACAAUACACACUUGUCAUGUUCAGUUGUGCUCUUUUGUGGUGUUAGCACGUGCAUCCAUUUGAGUGCAAACACCUGGCCUUCCCAUCCCACCAGUCUGCGCAAUGGGAUCUAUUCCAAAAUGCUUGGAUUUUCAUGGGUGUUCCCUCCACAAAGGGUAAGAGUCAGGCACUGAAGUAAGCCUGACUGGGCUUGAAAUGCACAUCCAACAUCAGCUGCUCCACAUCUGCAACGUGGAAAGCUGCAUAUGUCCAAAGGCUCAGUUGUUCUUGCCUCCAAUGCAUGUGGAACAGGCAGGCUACUUUGUGGCACAGUACAAGUGCCAACUUCCUUCUUUUGCCAUGUUACUGAAUUUGCUGCUCUGGCUUUUGCAGUGUUGCAUGGCAAAUUCAUAAUCUUUACUAAUAUGUUUGGAUAUACUUUCAGCGGGCAGUGAAAAGAAGAGGCAUAGCACAGAAGUGACGAUAGUCAUAAUCUCUUAGCACAAACUGGGAGGAGAGGUGCAGAAAAAAAAUGAGAAAGACACGAAGAACCUUUAAGCUUAUACCAAAACCAAGCACUGGUAUCUUUUUUUUUUUUUCUUUAUUUUCUGUAUGAACAUCCAGAUUUCACUGGAGAAGUCAUUACUUGCCGAAAACAGUUUCUCACCUGUACUAUAAAAACAUUGGUUUCUUAGUGAAAACAAGCAGUGGUGGCAAUUCUUUAAAUUAGUUUUGCUAUGAAUUGUGAUUGGGGCAAGAAUUUCUGCUCUGCCUGUUGUUGAAGGAGGGUCGCUACUUGGAGGGUUGGGCCACAGAGUCCUGGUCCCAGCAUGAGACCCCAGAAUUUCUAGGAUGCUGUGGGCCAAGUCCUGCAACGUCAGAGACAGCAGUUCUGUUUCUAAUGUGGAAAUGGCUGCAGUGUUGCAAACUACCUUCCACCUCCAGCCUUUGAUGCUCUGGAGAUUUGGAUGGAUUUCUGGCAAGAGAUGAUCUGUUGCAGUACUAGCUCAUAGGGCUUUCAAAGAGACAGAAAUGCCUUAAAAUUAAUCUUGAUUCUACUCAUGUUUAAAGGCCUGCUUGUCAGUAUGGAAGGAGACUCUCUCCAUACAGCCUUCUGUGGUGGUCCCUCAGGAGGGGAUGGUUCAGUCCUGUGGUACAGCAUCCCCGUGUACAGAAUUCAUACCAUGGUCCUGAAACAUGGGCAUUUGCCUCUUCAGCCUGGGAAGGGACUGGCGCAUCACUUCUUGGGGUGAUUUUAUCCCAGUGAACCACUUGCCUUCACCUAAUGAUGGAGUUUGAAGCUUAGAGGGGAUGUAGUUAAUCACCUUAGAGUCUCUUCCAUUGCACUAGGCCAGAGCAAAGGUCCUUCUGUCCCAGCAUUCAUUCUCUCUCAGGUCACGCUGCUGAGCUGAUAGUAUUUGGUAGUUGCUGGGCUGCAACUCUGAUCAAAAAGCGAAACUCUAUCCUGUACUUGGGCAAUUAAUAUAAUAGGCAACAGGGCCCUGACAAGUCAUCUUGCUCAGAAGUCUGAAGUCAUUUCCCUCCCUCCCCCCCCGCCCCGGUUUCUCCCCUCCAGUGUGUAUCUAAGCACUGACCAGAAACACAGACAAUUUUGACAAUCAAACACACUGUAUGGUUGACUGGACCGCUACAGCAGUGGCUGUCGCAUGUUUAUACUGAGUCAAAGACAAAAAUAUUUCUCUAGAGCAAUAUUAAACAGGUUUCUUUUUUCAAGAUGGUAAAGGUUUAGUGGUUCCCAGAAUAGGUGGUAUGUGGAAAAUAUCAAAAUAUAUUCAGCUCUGUUUUACCACACAGAUUUUCCACAGCUAAAUUUACCUUCUAUCAUGUAUAUCAGGAGUGCGAGAGAUCUGGAAAACCCCAGACUACUCCAGAUUGCUACUUUCAACUGACAUUGAUAGGGGCUUACCCUAACUAACAGUAACAAUGAAUGUAAAUAUAUUUUUGAGGUUCCUUGAAAAGUCUAUUUGAAUCUCUCUAACAGACAAGUACUUCCUUUUUUGGACAGCCAUUUUUUUCGUUGGCUGAAACUGAAGAUACAAGCAGCCAACGUUAUGGACUGCAGUGCUACUGUGAUGUACAAACACUGCUGUAUGUUCUUUAAUUCUGAUAAAGGGCUGUACAGGGAACAUAACUUGGAAGACCAUGGCAACUGGUCAGUCUCCCCCUAUUUCACCCAUCACUCCUCUAAACCCAGCGCUGUAAGCAUCCAGUGCAAUCUAUAGUCCUUGUACUCUCACAUGUGUGGCACCUGGCUGCCAAGUGACAUGGUAGA